rnacentral:rRNA from 1 species
AUUGAACGCUGGCGGCAGGCCUAACACAUGCAAGUCGAACGAGUGGCGGACGGGUGAGUAAUGUCUGGGAAACUGCCCGAUGGAGGGGGAUAACUACUGGAAACGGUAGCUAAUACCGCAUACCAUCGGAUGUGCCCAGAUGGGAUUAGCUAGUAGGGGGGGUAACGGCUCACCUCGGCGACGAUCCCUAGCUGGUCUGAGAGGAUGACCAGCCACACUGGAACUAGGACACGGUCCAGACGCCGAGGGGAGUAAGCAGGGGGGAAUAAUGCACAAUGGGCGCAGGGCUGGUGGUGCAAUGCCGCGUGGAUGAAGAAGGCUGUCGGGUUGUAAGAUACUUUCAGCGAGGAGGCGUUACUCUCAGAAGAAGCACCGGCUAACGCCGUGACAGCCGCCGCGGUAAUAC